GGCUGUCGUCAGCUCGUGUCGUGAGAUGUUGGGUUAAGUCCCGCAACGAGCGCAACCCACGUCUUUAGUUGCCAGCAUUAAGUUGGGCACUCUAGAGAGACCGCCGGUGAUAAACCGGAGGAAGGUGUGGAUGACGUCAAGUCAUCAUGCCCCUUACAUCCUGGGCUACACACGUACUACAAUGCUACGGACAAAGGGCAGCAAACUCGCGAGAGCUAGCAAAUCCCAUAAACCGUGGCUCAGUUCAGAUCGUAGGCUGCAACUCGCCUACGUGAAGGAGGAAUCGCUAGUAAUCGCAGGUCAGCAUACUGCGGUGAAUACGUUCCCGGGCCUUGUACACCCCGCCCGUCACACCAUGGAAGUUGGCCACGCCCGAAGUCGUUACUCCAACCCUUGUGGAGGAGGAUGCCGAAGGUGGGGCUGAUGACUGGGGUGAAGUCGUAACAAGGUAGCCGUACCGGAAGGUGCGGCUGGAUCACCUCCUAA
rnacentral:rRNA from 1 species